AAGUUACUUUUUAUACAAAUAUUUUUGACUGUUUUGUGAAAAAUAAAAUACAGUAAAACUAGUAUAAAUAAAUUUUAGUACCUUUUGCAUAAGGGUUUUUCAAGAUAAAUUUAAGUAUUUAAUUUUCCCGAAUGAAAGAGAGUUAUUUUAAAGUUAAAAAUCGUGGUAGAGAUUUGAUUAAACUCUAAAAUAGCGGCUAGAUACUAUUCGCGCUUUUAGAUAUCUGGUUAGCUUAAAAAUAUGUGUAAGCAUUGUUCUUAAACACUUAAGCAACAAAAUUUUUUGGGCCAAGCUGAGAAAUGUUAAAAUUGAUGCUAGAAAAAUCUCUGGUUUCUAUAGGCUUUAAAUUAGCCAUUAGGUACUAAUCUACUUUAACUAAAACCAAGCGUCAAAAAAAUUAAUUGUAGAAAUCAUUUAAGUUAAAAUAAGCUUAUGAUCAUAAGACCAAAAAUCAUGAUAAAAACGAGUAAAAAUAUUUUUUGUUUGGUGCGAUUAUUUUAUCCCCCCUUAAAACUCUAACUGUUUGUUAAAAGUUUUUAAAUGAACUCGGCAAACUAAACUUCUCGACUGUUUAACAAAAACAUUUCCUUUUGAUAUAAGUAAAAGGUAGUCCCUGCCCAGUGCAACCAAAUUAACGUUUGUUGUAAAUGGCGGCGUUAACGUGAGCGUCCUAAGGUAGCGCGAUAAUUUGCUUUUUAAUUAAAGGAUGGUAUGAAAGGGUUAACGAAGAAGAUGCUGUGUCUAAGAAUUUAAUUUAAACUAACUUUAAGGUGAAGAGGCCUUUAUGAAAAAGAAGGACGACAAGACCCUAUGAAGCUUUACCUUAAUUGAGGCUUUCAAGCUUUUAUACGGUUUUGAUGGGAGAUCAGUAAAAAUAAAUCCUUUGCUAUAGAGUUUAUCCUACCAGAAUUUCCUAAUUUUAUAUGUGUGAUUAGCUACUCUAGGGAUAACAGCGCAAUUUCUCCCGAAAGAUGGUAUUGGAGGGGAAGAUUGUGACCUCGAUGUUGGCUUUAGGUGUCCUAGAGGCGUAAAAGCUUCUAAGGGUGGGUCUGUUCGCCCUUUAAAAUCUAACAUGAGCUGAGUUCAGAACGGCGUGAGCUAGUUCAGUUUCUAUCCUCUUUUAAAAAUGAGCUAAUUUUGUACGAAAGGACUUUUUUGCUAAAGCAACGCUUUGCCCUGGCUCUUUGAUUUCCUAAGUAAUGCUGCGUAGUAAACUGAUUAGUUUAUAAAAAGGGUUG
rnacentral:rRNA from 1 species